rnacentral:rRNA from 1 species
UACGUAGGUGGCAAGCGUUGUCCGGAUUUAUUGGGCGUAAAGCGAGCGCAGGCGGUUCCUUAAGUCUGAUGUGAAAGCCCACGGCUCAACCGUGGAAGGUCAUUGGAAACUGGGGAACUUGAGUGCAGAAGAGGAGAGUGGAAUUCCAUGUGUAGCGGUGAAAUGCGUAGAUAUAUGGAGGAACACCAGUGGCGAAGGCAACUCUCUGGUCUGUAACUGACGCUGAGGCUCGAAAGCGUGGGGAGCAAACAGGAUUAGA